GUUGGUGGUAUAGUGGUGAGCAUA
rnacentral:piRNA from 7 species